rnacentral:lncRNA from 1 species
AUUAUAUACUGAUACACUGACUCCAAUGCAACUGCAGAAUAAGAUAUCAAAGUGACGUAUGUAAAAGAAGCGUACAGUGUGUGUGUUAUUAUUAUUAUUUGUUGUUGUUUUCAUUUUUUCAUUGUAUUCUGUUAUUGCAGGACUGUGUCCAGGCCACUGUGCCUCAUCCACUGUCCACAUUCUCAACUUCUCUGCCAGGACAACUUCCACAACACCCGGCCUGAACCAGUACAACAUUAAGAAGUCUUCAGUCUGAAAACACAGUUUGAAGCAUGACAACCACGUAAGUGUAGAAUUCUUCUGUC